UUNUCUUUGUAUUGUAGCUUCUNCNAAAAAGNNCUCCGCCUGGGGACUUUUCCCGNAAGACUAAAACUCAAAGGAAUUGACGGGGACCCGCACAAGCGGUGGAGCAUGUGNUUUAAUUCGAUGCUACGCGAAAAACCUUACCACUUUUUGACAUGAAGGUCGUAUCCCUCCUAACAGGGGGAGUCAGUUCGGCUGGACCUUACACAGGUGCUGCAUGGUUGUCGUCAGCUCGUGUCGUGAGAUGUUGGGUUAAGUCCCGCAACGAGCGCAACCCUCAUUCUUAGUUACCAACAGGUAAUGCUGGGCACUCUAAGGAAACUGCCAGUGAUAAACUGGAGGAAGGUGGGGAUGAUGUCAAAUUCAAGCCNCGGCCCUUUAUAAGGGUGGGGGCUUAACAA
rnacentral:rRNA from 1 species